GACGAACGCUGGCGGCGUGCUUAACACAUGCAAGUCGAACGCUGAAGCUUGGUGCUUGCACUGGGUGGAUGAGUGGCGAACGGGUGAGUAAUACGUGAGUAACCUGCCCUUGACUCUGGGAUAAGCCUGGGAAACUGGGUCUAAUACUGGAUAUGACAUGCCACUGCAUGGUGGUGUGUGGAAAGGGUUUUACUGGUUUUGGAUGGGCUCACGGCCUAUCAGCUUGUUGGUGGGGUAAUGGCCUACCAAGGCGACGACGGGUAGCCGGCCUGAGAGGGUGACCGGCCACACUGGGACUGAGACACGGCCCAGACUCCUACGGGAGGCAGCAGUGGGGAAUAUUGCACAAUGGGCGGAGGCCUGAUGCAGCGACGCCGCGUGAGGGAUGACGGCCUUCGGGUUGUAAACCUCUUUCAGCACGGAAGAAGCGAGAGUGACGGUACGUGCAGAAGAAGCGCCGGCUAACUACGUG
rnacentral:rRNA from 1 species